UUGACUUUCCAGGGUUUAAAACCCAUCAAGGCUGAAAAGGAGUGCCAAGGUUCAUGACCUUCAAGGUAAGGUAUCAAUACCAGAGUUUAUUACUGAUGAUGUCAAGGAAUUGAAUUGUCAAGGUUUAACACAUACAGGGCGAAUAGAAUCAAGUGCUAGAGUUAAUGGCUCUCAGGGCAAAGGAUUGAAUUAAAUAAACAAGGUUUAACGCUUCACAAGGUAAAAGAGACCGAUAUUCCAGAGUCCAUGACUCUCAAGGGAAAG
rnacentral:lncRNA from 1 species